rfam:Salmo salar isolate Sally breed double haploid chromosome ssa14, whole genome shotgun sequence.
UGCACGCAUGACUAUAAGUCGCUUUGGAUAAAAGUGUCUGCUAAAUGGUGUAUA